rnacentral:misc_RNA from 1 species
CUGGUUGCAUCCCUGCAGGAAACACUUUCUGAAAAGAAUGCAACUUUUGAAAAAUUUGAAGCAAUUUUUUCUCAGGCUAGUGUUUUUGAGGAAAUAGAAUCGAUGGAUAUGAUGGAGAGAUUGAAAUGGCUUGUAAAUUUGGUUGCAUCACUGCAGGAAAUGCUUUCACAAAGGAACAGAAUUCUUGACAGCCUUGAAGAAAUUUUUUCCCAGAUCAGUGCACCUGUGGAAGUUCAGUCAAUGGAAACCGUUGAGAGAUUCAAAUGGAUUGUGGAGGACAGAAAUGCACUUAACGAUAAUUUGCUUGAAUUCCUUAAACUGAAAGAUACCUUGUCUUCUAUUGAUCUACCAGAAACUGUUUCAUCAUCUGAUUUGGAAACUCGAAUAGGAUGGCUUAAGGAAUCAGUUAAUCAGGCAAAAGGUGAAGUAAAUAUGUUGCAAGAUGAAAUUGCUAGAACAAAAGAAGCUGCAAAUAAUGAGAUUGACCGCUUAAGUGCUACACUUUUGGUGGAAUCACAAGAAAAGGAAUACAUUAAAAUGGAGCUGGAUGAACUAGCAUGCAAAUUUGAAGGGGUUGCCAAAGAAGCACAUCAAGCCUCCUCAGAGAAGGAUCAGAUGGUGAAGCUGUUGUUUGAGGGUUCUGGAAUAACAGAGAGUUAUUCUGAUGUGGCUGAACUUAUUGAGAGAUGUUUUGGAAAGAUAAAAGAACAAAGCGGUGCUUCUUUUGGUACUUCUGCUGAUGCUGAGGUGUUUGAAAGAAUGCAGAAUCUCUUGUAUGUCAGGGAUCAGGAAUUGACGCUCUGUGAAAAACUUCUAGAAGAAGAUGUGCUGGUGAGGUCAGAGGUGAGUAAUCUGUCUAAUGAGUUAAGAGUGGCAUCUGCAGAACUUGCUGCAUUGAAGGAGGAAAGAGACUCUUUGCAAAAAGAUCUUCAGCGAUCAGAAGAGAAAUCUGCUUUGCUAAGGGAGAAGUUGUCCUUGGCGGUUAAAAAAGGCAAGGGAUUGGUUCAAGAUCGAGAAAACUUGAAAUUUUCUCUGGAUGAAAAGAACACUGAAAUUGAGAAGUUGAAGAUUGAAUUACAACAACAAGAAUCUACGGUUUCUGAGUACAGGGAUCAGAUAAAUAGAUUGUCUACUGAUCUAGAACAAAUCCCAAAGUUAGAGGCUGAUCUUGUUGCUAUUAAAAAUCAACGGGAUCAACUUGAGCAGUUCUUGUUGGAGAGCAACAACGUGUUACAGAGAGUAAUUGAAUCAGUCGACCGAAUUGUUCUUCCUGUUGAUUCAGUUUUUGAAGAGCCUGUAGAAAAGGUGAACUGGCUUGCAGGGUACAUGAAUGAAUGCCAGAAAUCUAAGAGCCAGGCAGAGCAAGAGUUGGAUACAGUCAAGGAGGAAACUAGUAUCCUAGCUAGUAAAUUAGCAGAUGCACAACAAACUAUAAAGUCACUAGAAGAUGCAUUGUCAGGUUCAGAGAACCGCGUUGCUCAACUAACUGAAGAGAAGAGGGAAAUAGAAGCUGCUAAGGAAAGUGUUGAGCAGGACUUGCAAAAAUCAAAAGAUGAAGCUUAUGCUCAAACUAGCAAGUUUAUUGAGGCUUGUGCAACUAAAAAAUCACUUGAAGAUGCAUUGUCUCUGGCAGAAAACAAUAUUUCUCUGAUAAUCAAAGAGAGAGAAGAGGCUCAACUGAGCAUAUCUGCUACAGAGACUGAGCUAGAGAGAGUGAGUGAGGAAGUUGCUGUUCAAACUGGCAAGUUGACAGAGGCAUAUAGAACUAUAAAGUCUCUUGAAGAUGCAUUAUCUGUGGCAGAGGCCAAUGUUUCUUUGCUUACUGAACAAAACAAUCAUUUCCAGGUCGGUAGAACCAAUUUAGAGUAUGAACUAAAGGAGCUAAAAGAAGAAGUUAGGUCACAGGCUAGUGGGCUGGCAAAUGCCUCUACAACUAUGAGAUCUCUGGAAGAUGCAUUAUCAAAGGCAGCAAAUGAUAUUUCUGUCCUCGAAGGAGAAAAAAGAAUUGCUGAGCAGGAGAUUUCUACACUUAAUUCUAAGUUGAAGGCAUGCAUGGACGAAUUAGCUGGAACCAAUGGCAGCAUGGAAAACAGGUCUGCAGAGCUCAUCCAUCACCUUAGUGACCUUCAAAUGCAUAUGAAAAAUGAGAGUCUGUUAACGAUGGUCAGACAACAUUUUGAGAAGGAAUUUGAGAACCUGAGGAACAUAGAUCACAUUCUCAGGGACAUAAAGAGCCAAUUGGAUAACACAGGUUCAGAACUGUUGCCAAGUCACCCUAUCAUGGAGGAAGAUUUACAUGUGACAAAACCUUUUCCUCAUGACCUUGGCAAUAUUGUGAACAUAGAAAUGGUCGAUGACAAUGUGAAUGCAGCAGAUGUCAACAAUAUUUCAUUAUAUUUUAAGAAAACUGUUGAGGGGUUCCAGUCGCAAAAUGCAAUUCUCAUGGAUAAUUUUGAAGGUUUCUCUGCUUUCAUAGGCGAGUUUAUUGAAGCUCUGUUGGGAAAGCUAAGGGCAACUGGAGAUGCAGUGACUAUUAUUUUUGAGCACAUGGAGUCUAUGAAACAGAAAAUGAAGAAUAUGGAAAUGCAUAACGAGGAACAAGAGAAAACCAUUGCUGUGUUAGAAAAAGAUUGUAGAGUUUUACUAUCUGCUUGCAGUAAUGCCACAAGCAAAUUGCAGUUUGAAACAAAGAACAAUCUACUGGAGCUGAACUCUAUUCCUGAGCUUGAAACGUUGAGACAUAGCAUGAUUCUAGAAGCAACUGAAGUUGAUGCUGAUAAUGUAGAGCAUCAGCAAAGUCUUGAGGACAACAGAUAUGAAAAGGUUGCCAAAAAUUUAUUCCUGGUUACAAGAAAAGUUCAAACUCUGAUUAAACUAUUUGAGAGCACAAGCAAUGUGGCAGCUGCCACAAUUGAAGACUUGCAGAAGAAGUUGAGCGAAAGCAGAUUAGCUUAUGACAGAGCCAUAAAAGAAAGGGAUUUAAUUCAGAGUACAGUUUCUGAGUUGGAAAUUGAUGCAGAAGCCUUGCAAAAUUCUUGCAAAGAACUGAAGCUCAAAGCAGGGGAUUAUCAAGUCAUAGAGAAGAAGUUGAAGGAAAAAGAAGAGGAACUUUCGAAGUUACGUAGUGAUUUAUUGAUGAAAGAACAAGUGGCAGAAGAAGCUCUCAUGUCUGCUUCUGAAUUGAAAACGCUUUUUGAUAAGAUAAGGGGGUUUGAAAUUUCUUUUGCUGAGUUGGAAGUAAAGGAUGUGGAGCUCCAUGGUUCAGUUGAUGUACAGAAACUGUUUUACAUCAUUGAUAGUGUACCUGAGUUGCAUAAUCAAAUAAAUGUGUUAUCUCAUGACAAAGACAAGCUACAAUCAACUGUAUCAAAGCAGGUUAUUGAAAUUGAAUAUCUAAAAGAGAAAAUUGAAACACUCAUUUCAAAUAACCAAGAAUCUGAAAAGAUGAAGGCUGAAAUGUCUGAGAUAACAUUAGGUUUGGAGAAAUUCAUUGAUAUUUUGGGCGGUAGUGAAAUUGUUGCAGACCAAAAAUUUGCCGGUGACCAAAAGUCUGCUGGUUUGCAGAGACUUUUGCCAGUAGUAGAAAAACAGAUUAUGACCUUGCUUUGGGAAGCCAAAAAUUCGAAAUCCCAAGUUCGGGAACUUGACACAAGGUUGCUUGGGAGCCAGAAGGUCAUAGAGGAAUUGUCAACCAAGCUUAAAUUGCUUGAAGAUUCAUUCCAAAGUAAAACUGUUCAGCCGGAGAUUGUCCAGGAAAGAAGCAUCUUCGAAGCAGCUCCAUUGCCCAGUGGCUCAGAGAUAUCUGAAAUUGAAGAUGUGGUAAAUUUGUCAUCUUAUAUUCCACCACAAACUUUUCCCUUCAUGAAAUAUCAUCACUUAACACUGCUACAAUUUGGAUAAUGCCAUUAGCUCAUUUUAAGUGUGGACUAUGGACCUUACGUUUAGUUUGGAAAAAAGGAAAUUUACUUGUAUAUUUAUGUUUCAUGUUAAGACACAUAAGAUGAACAUUGGAUGCACUGUUGAAGAUAGUACCAGUCAGGAGGUGGGUGGGGGGAAUCUGUUGACAAUUUUUUGUUAAGUUUCUGGUUUUUGGCUACUUCACCAUGCUAAUUAAUCAUUUGCAGUUUUGCAUGAUGUAGAGAGCACAUUAAAGUUUGGGUGUGGAAUCUUCCAAUCUUGUGAAAGGCUACAGAUCUUUUUUUCUGUUGAUGGAAAUGCUUUGUUAUUGCAUAGUAUUCUGUUCAACAGCUACCUUUUUCUUUUCUUUAAUUUUUUAAUAGCUUAUAGAGUUGUGGAAUUUUAUUAUUUAUUUAUCCAUUACCGCUGAACCCAUUCUAAAUAUAUCAUAUUGUGACUUCUUGCACGGAAAUUACAUAAAAUUCAUUUGAUGGUAAUAUGACCACCUAGCUGCCAAGUGUUUAACAUGUUUCAUGUUUUAAGUCAACCUCUCUCUAUCUCUCUCAGCUGCAUCUUGUAAACCAUUUAUUCUUGAUGCUUAUGCAGGGUGCAGUCGGAAGCAAUGCAAUAUCUCCUGUUCCCUCAGCUGCUCAAUUGCGUACUAUGCGAAAAGGAUCAACUGACCAUCUUGUUCUCAGUAUUGAUUCAGAAUCUGGGAGUCUGAUCAACAAUGAGGAAACUGAUGAGGAAAAAGGUCAUGCGUUCAAGUCUCUUAACACAUCAGGUCUCAUUCCCAAGCAAGGAAAGUCACUUGCAGAUCGAAUUGAUGGAAUAUGGGUAUCUGGUGGUCGAGUUCUUAUGAGCCGUCCCAGAGCAAGGCUGGGCCUCAUUGCCUAUUGGCUUUUCUUGCAUAUAUGGGUAUUGGGAACCAUCUUGUAAAUCGUCAUCUCUCUGAAUCAUAUACUUGUCAGCAUUUUUAACUUGUAUCAUACAUAAUUUUUCCCCAUUCGUUUUUUUCCCUUCCUCAACCCUUCCAAAUAUGUUGUUUAUAUACAUAUUCUUACCCUCGUUGAUUGUUUGCAAUCAUAUUUUGGGAUUCAGAAAACCCAAAGCCUAUAUGCUUUUGGAAAAUAAUACACGUUUACCCUUUAGUCUCCAACUGGAAAAUUGUGAUGGAGAUUUAUGAAUGAUAGUUAGUAGAUGGAAAAUGAAAUCCUCUCUCUCUCUCUCUCGCGCUCUCUGUAGUAAUGUGUUGUAUAUUGAUGAUACUUUGAAUGUACAGUACCAAUGAUCACUAUUUUCAUCAAUAUGCCCUGAGGAGGCAAUUGCGGAAGCUAGAUGCCAGUGGAAUUCUCAUUAAUUUCUCUAAAGUGCUCCAUUAUAAUUGAGAAAAUUUAUUAAAUCUUUGUUUUGGAGUAUUAUUAUUAUUGUUAUUUUGGACAAAGUAAUAUGCAGUUUAAAAGAUUUGCAAUUGGUGCAUAAUUGAUCUUAAACAGUUAUGGUACUGAAAUCGUUUCUUUGAAAAUGUUAGCAUGUUAUAAUUGACCAAUCAAAUACACAAUUCUUAGCUUUUAGGAGUUGAGAUAAAAUCAGAAUUAAGGGUUUUCUUUAAUAGCAAAAUUAUUUUUGAACGGAAGAAGGAGUGGCUAGAAAAACACUUGGAAUAGCUGGUGGCCUUUCUCACCAUCCACUUGGCAGAGCCCAAGUUAUAGAGGGACAAAAUGAAUCACAGAUAACGGCGAAGGAAGGUUCUGUUCCAAAACUUGAAUCAUCUUUCAACAUAUCUUCCAUUCUACUCUAUUCUCUUACAUUUGUCCCACCCUUUUGGGAAGAUGUUGUAAUUGGAAAAUUUAGCUCAUACCCAAUUGAGAGAUCGGACAAUCAUGCCUUUGCUCGCUAUUACUUGUUUAACGACAACCCGUAAUUGCUCCUUGAAGCUGACUGGCCCCUGUGAUUCGCUGAAGAUUUUACUUGCCAAAUCAAGUAGCUUGAAGGGCUAUAGAUUUUGCACAAGGACUUUUGCCCGGCAGAAAUCGGUGAAAAAGCUGAGAAGAGAUGUGCAAUCACCAAAUGGGAAGAGUUUAGAAGAUGAGAACAAGGUCUUAUCAGAUGGGUCUUCUUUAAAGGAUAAUAAUAAUGUCAAGGUUACGCAGAAUUCAGCCAACUUCCCUUCCAGAAGAGCUGUUCUUCAGUCAUGCAUUGUCACUUCUGGGGUGAUAGCUGCUUUGGGUAUAUUAAUUCGACAGGUAUCUCAUGUUGCAUCAGUGGAAGGAUUGCCAAUCCUUGACUGCUCUACAGAAGUUUCAUGUAUAAAUUUUAUGUUUGCCUUCCUGCAGUUUUUCAUUUAUUUUUCAUUCUGUUUGAUGAGAAGAAUCAAUCUCCCCCUCAAAUAGAUAAUCCACAUAACGAGCAUUUUUUAUUGGAAAGUAGAAAUAUAGUGCUCUUUUCCUCUAUGUUAAUGGCUCAAUCCAGAAGCAUUCAUGCUGAAGAAAAGAUCAACUGUCAAUUACUUCAGAGAGUCUCACUCUUUUCCCCUUUCUUUACAGUUGAUAUUGAGAUGUGGCAUCUUGAGUUGAUUGCAGGAUUGGUUAUACUGAUAUCAUUAUCCCGAUACUUGCUCCUGAAGACAUGGCCAGAUUUUGCUGAAUCUACAGAAGCUGCCAAUCAGCAGGUAGCUCUAUUCUUAUGUACUUUUGGCAUUUAUGUCUUUAUUCAUUUAUCAUCUCAGUUAGCACCCAGAUAAUUAUAAUUGCUUGAUUAAUGCUUGGCUAAAUUGUUUAAUAUUUUAUGUUUUUUUUUUCCCCAAUUAUCAAAUCAUGGAUACAAAGGUGACACUUGGUGCACCCUGCACUAGUUAGGUUGCUCCAUUGCGACCUCAAAGACACGAGUUCAAACCAGAGAAACAGCCUUUUUGUGGGCAAAGCAAAGCCUGUGUACCUCUAUCGGUGGGAAGUCUUGUGUGUUGGAACACCCUAGAUCAUGAAGAUAUAUUCUGCUGGUCUCAUUGAUCAACCGGGUUAAACCUUGGUCCGACAGCCACUGAAUGCUGGCCAUCCUUGUGGCUUUUUAAAAUCUGCGGUGUUUGAUUACUUUAUUGAACAUUGACAAAGAUCUUGAUUUUUGUUUUAUGUAGGUCCUCACAUCACUUCAACCUUUGGAUUACAUGGUAGUUUCAUUUUUGCCUGGGAUUAGUGAGGAAAUCCUUUUCCGUGGUGCAUUGCUUCCACUUUUUGGAAUGGAUUUGAAGAGUGCCUUGCUGGUUGCUGCCAUAUUUGGUAUUCUACACUUGGGAAGCGGUAGAAAGUACUCCUUUGCUGUCU